GAUGAAGAACGCAGCGAAAUGCGAUAAGUAAUGCGAAUUGCAGAAUUCCAGUGAGUCAUCGAAUCUUUGAACGCACAUUGCGCCCUUUGGUAUUCCGAAGGGCAUGCCUGUUCGAGCGUCAUUAUCACCCCUCGAGCCCCCUGUGGCUUGGCUUUGGACGGUCUGGUUAGGCGACUGACCCCUCCUAAAGACAAUGACGGCGGCCUCGCAGGACCCCCGGUACACUGAGCUUCUUAACUGAGCACGUAUCGGAAUGAGGGUUCUCGGGACACGGUCUCCUUUUCCCCCCUCCCUCCCGGGGGCGGUGGGAAAAAAAAAAAAAUUUUUCUAAGGUUGACCUCGGAUCAGGUAGGGAUACCCGCUGAACUUAAGCAUAUCAAUAAGCAGGA
rnacentral:misc_RNA from 1 species